AUUGAAACUGAAAUGCGUGAAUGCUUUACUUUCCAUCUAUAAGUUGUGUUUUUCACUCUGAUGUAUGUCAAUAUCUUUCCAUGUUAAUGUGCUGGUGUUUCAAAUGGCUGCAUGAUGCUGCCUGGUAGGGACAGAGCAUACUUUGUUUAUCAAUAGGUGUUUAGGUUGUUUCCAGCUUGACUCCUACAGACAGUACUAGAGUGAGCAUCCUUAAAAAUACAUCUUCCCCAACUUGUCAGAUUAUUUUGUUUGCAGAGCUGCUGGGUCAAAAGGAGAGAGUCUCUGAGAAGGGACAGAGGCUGACAGUCGGGGAGACUGCAAGAGAAAGACUGAGAGAGAGAGAGAGAUCUAUAGAAGCAGAGAGAGGGGGAAAGAAACAGAUGGAGAGAGACAGAGGCUGGGUGCGGUGGCUCACGCCUGUAAUCCCAGCACUUUGGGAGGCUGAGGUGGGCAGAUCACUUGAGUUCUAGAGUUUGAAACCAGCCUGGCCAACAUGGCGAAACCCUGUCUCCGCUAAAAAUACAAAAAUUAGCCAGGCUUGGUGGCACACGACUGUAGUCCCAGCUACUCAGAAGGCUGAGGCACAAGAAUCGCUUGAGCCUGGGAGGCAAAGGUUGCAGUCAGCCGAAAUUGCACCACUGCACUCUAGCCUGGCCAACUGAGUGAGACUCUGUCUCAAAAAAAAAAAAAAAAAAAAAGAGAUGGAGAGAGACGAGAAAGAGCAAGGUUGAGGGUUGAGAGAGAGCGAGAUUGGGAGGGUGACAGGGAGUUGCUUUCGAUGGAGACUGAGAAGGAAUUCCUCUGACCCAUGGGGUCUCUAUGGCCACAGGAAUCCAGUCAGGAAAGUGACUAAGUGACUUUUAGGAACACACCCAACAGAUACAAUCGUAGAUGAGGUCAGAGUCCUUUGUGCAAGGAUCUUCAUGGGGCUAUUGUUCCUGGAAAGCAAAAAAUGGGAAACGACCUAAUUGCCCAUCAACAGGGGACUGGUUAUAGAUUGUGCUGGAAAUGCUGAUAGAAGCCCAUCUCCAAGUAGGGUUGGCAGAUAAUAGCAAAUAAAACCACAGAAGGCCCAGUUAAAUUUGAAUUUAAAAUGAAGCAUAUGUCUCAUGCAGCCUUCCUUAUACACUAAAAACCUAUUUGUUGUUUAUCUAAAAUUCACAUGUAUAUUUUAUCUGGAAACUAUUAAUCUCCAAGAUAAGUGAGAAAAGCCAGGUGAGGUCAGGAGAGGGGUUGCUCUUGGUGAGGGUGUGUGUGUAUUUGGGCUGCUGAGGUGGCCGUCAGUUUCAGCUCCUGUCCUGGGUGUGGUUACACUUGAAGGGAAGGGACUGAUCCGGGCUCACAUAAGCAGAGGUUGAAGGGCUAGGCUCCACUCCAGGGUCCGUGCUCUGUAGUGAUUUGUAUAUAUGUGUUAAAAGUGUUUUCAAUAAAAGUAUGACAGACCACAAUUUUCUAAACUCCAUUUAAACAUUUCUGAUUUAAAAAAAUAAUACUAGCAGUCUCAGCUGGGUGUGGUGGCUCACACCAGUCAUCCCAGCACUUUGGG
rnacentral:lncRNA from 1 species